rnacentral:rRNA from 1 species
UACGUAGGGUGCAAGCGUUGUCCGGAAUUAUUGGGCGUAAAGAGCUCGUAGGCGGUUUGUCGCGUCUGCUGUGAAAACUCGGGGCUUAACCCCGGGCCUGCAGUGGGUACGGGCAGACUAGAGUGCGGUAGGGGAGACUGGAAUUCCUAGUGUAGCGGUGAAAUGCGCAGAUAUCAGGAGGAACACCGGUGGCGAAGGCGGGUCUCUGGGCCGUAACUGACGCUGAGGAGCGAAAGCGUGGGGAGCGAACAGG